AAAAAAAAAAAAAAAAAUCUAAAGUUGCAAUUGCUGAAGAAGGAAAGGAAGAUUGAAGCCGCUGAAGUUUCUGUUAUUCAAUCGGAAAUAAGUAAGAAUUCAUCCAUCAGUUGCUGCCGCACCCUUGAAGUUGAGAGAAUCGUUUGCAAAACCAGCUUGUCUUCCAUGAGCAUC